rnacentral:rRNA from 1 species
UGUGGCAGCGGGAAUUCGAUUAGAGUUUGAUCCUGGCUCAGGACGAACGCUGGCGGCGUGCCUAAUACAUGCAAGUAGAACGCUGAAGGAGGAGCUUGCUCUUUCCGGAUGAGUUGCGAACGGGUGAGUAACGCGUAGGUAACCUGCCUGGUAGCGGGGGAUAACUAUUGGAAACGAUAGCUAAUACCGCAUAAGAGUAGAUAUCGCAUGAUAGCUGCUUGAAAGGUGCAAUUGCACCACUACCAGAUGGACCUGCGUUGUAUUAGCUAGUUGGUGAGGUAACGGCUCACCAAGGCAACGAUACAUAGCCGACCUGAGAGGGUGAUCGGCCACACUGGGACUGAGACACGGCCCAGACUCGUUACGGGAG